CGCAAGGCUUAGGAGGUGAGGGUGCGAAAAAAAAUGUGUAUAAAAGGAGAGAGAAAAGGAUACAGACAUCAGUUGGGUGAGCAUCACCGACAUGGCAACAACUGCUGUGGACUGCCUGUACCAACUGGCUUCUUCAUCGCAUUACCAGCUCGAAACAAUUGGUAAACAUUUCGUUUCUCUACAUAGUUUUGUAUUACUAAGUCUAUUAUUGACUAUGGGUUAAUAUGCCAUUCACUGUUUGUCUAUUUAACUGUGGCGUCGUGUUGCUGUUGGGUGUUGUAUCGUUGAUGGCUUGGUCGACCACUGGUGUACCGAUGUUUCCUUCGCCAACCCCAUCGCCAACUGGAUUGUUCAUCGAUAAACGAGUUCGCAGUCAUGGUCAACUACACGCCAACACGCCCUGAAUUAUAGACGUCCUUCAGUUUCUGCCAGCAUUAACUGGCUUCGUGCUGCUGUUGAAUGUUGUAUCGUUGCUGGCUGAGUCGACCACUGGUGUACCGAUAUUCCCUGGGCAUGGCGGAUAUUAAACCGCGACGCUGCUGUCUUACUACACAUCAACAUAGGUGACGACCUGUUACCACACCGGGACUACCAAGUAUACUUCACAGAAAAUGCAGAAUAUUACACAAGUACAUGUGCUACCCCAGUUUACUACAUCGAGUAACCUAAGCAUUACUCUGGUCCGAGCUACAACAGAGGCACUGUUUACUACACCACCAUUGACCCCGAUUGUUACGCUGCCCCCAACCGCUACAUUGAAGCUCCGAAGUACUACACCAUUGAAGGUAAACCAAUUCGCAUUGAUGGGUAGAUAUUCAUUUAUAUUUCGAGUCGUGAAUCAAUUCUACAUAGUUUCUGGUUGUUGAUAAUUUGAUAUGACUGUUGCGUGUUGUAUCAUUGAUGGCUGGGUCG